UUAAAAGGCCACCCUGGCUGGGGUCCUUCUCUGUUGCUUGGCAUAUCAGGCAUUUAAAGGGCCGCCCUGGCUGAGGACGUUCCCUGUUGGUCAAUGUGUCAGGUGCCUAAGGGCCCCGCCCACCCGUUGGGGUCCUUCUCUGUUGCUCAGUGUGUCAGGUGUUUAAAGGGUCCCCGUGGUUGGAGUCCUUCUCUGUUGCUUGGAGGGACAGGCACUUAAAUGGCCACCCUAGCUAGGGUCCUUCUCUAUUGCUUCGUGUGUCAGGCACUUAAAUGCCUACCCUGGCUAAGGUCCUUCUCUAUUACGUGGCGUGUCAGGCACUUAAAGGGCCUCUGACUGGGGUCCUUCUCUGUUGCUCAGUUCACCAGGUGCUUAAAUGACGCCCCUGGCUUGAGUUUUCACUGUUGCUUGGUGUGUCUGGAGCUUAAAUGGCCACAUUCCCUGGGUUCCUUAUCUGUUGCUUGGUGCAUCAGGCACUAAAGCCUGCCCCCGUCCCCCCCU
ensembl:lncRNA